GGUGAUGGGUUUGUGCCGAUGACUAAUAAUGAUGGCUGCCGAUGGCUGUGAAAGGUGGUCUGCCGAUGGUUAUGAAGAAAAGCGCGGGGGUUGCCGAUUGACUCGUGAUGAUGUACCGAUCGGUUGAGGAAGAUAAUUUAAUGCUUUCCAUAGUUAUUAGAGUUUGUUUUGUGUACGGAUUCUGUUUAAUAUGGAGUUCGUGUCCU
rnacentral:lncRNA from 1 species